AGACCCGGCUUUUUCGACGCCGAGCUGCCGCCCAGCCCCAAUGGCAGGGCCUUCCAGGGAGUCCCAGUCAGACUGCUCCCCAGCUCCCGCAGCUGCUCGGUCCCUGCAAAGCCCCCGGGAGCGUUUCUACUCUCCCCUGAGCCCACGCCAUCCCGUCACUCCUAGGAAACUUUUCGCGCAGAAACUCCUGGAGAACAGCCCCGGCCGCCAGGUACUCGCCCGCCCGGACCGCAAAGCCCACAGAGCUUCAAUUCGCAGGAAGGGGAGUGGGGAGCCCUGAGCUGGGGUGUUCCUGGAAGAGGUCGGGGAGCGGGGGGAGAGGCAUUCCAGGCUGGAGGCCUGGAAACGUUUGGAAGCUUUGCUAACCUUGGAGACCAUGUCAGGAAAGAAGCGUACCCAGGCCGUCUGCUGUGUGCCCACCCCGAUCCCCAUCAGUGCCCCACGCACUCGAGCUCUUCUUCGGCGUCUGCAGCCUCUUCAUCCGCGCGGAGAGGCGGAGGUCUCCCGGAAACAGUGUCCGACUGUGGCACCCCAGAGCGUCCAAUGCGAGCUCAGGCCUUUCCCGCAAGUCUGGAGUUUUCUUAUCCAGUUGAGGCCGCCUUCGCUGUACUCACUCUCUGCCUCCCACCCCAUCUUCUGCCACCCGACCUCCAUCUUUGAUGGUUAGCGCCUUCAGCCCUCAACAGCUUCGCACAACCAACCCCUAGAAGCCGUGGAGUCAGACCGGCCAGGGUGGGACCUAGGUUUUAACUCGGGUUCUGGCUACACACGCUGCGCCUCCAUACAGUUUGUCCCAGGUUUGGCAGCAGGCCGGCUACCUUCAGGAAUUCUUUGCUUUGGCUUCUGUCUGUUCCUGUCUGUUGGGCAAGUUUCUAGCUACCCCACUGAGAGAACCAUAGAACAAGGACCCUGGCAUGGCAUACAGA
rnacentral:lncRNA from 1 species